GCUCUUGUAGCUCAGUUGGUUAGAGCACCCGUUUAGUAAGCGAGAGGUUUUGAGUUUAACUCUCAAUAAGAGCA
rfam:Ipomoea nil DNA, scaffold: scaffold0117, cultivar: Tokyo-kokei standard.